rnacentral:rRNA from 1 species
AUUGAACGCUGGCGGCAGGCCUAACACAUGCAAGUCGAGCGGAGCGGCGAACGGGUGAGUGAUGCCUGGUAAUCUGCCUGGUAGUGAGGGAUAACGUCCGGAGACGGGAGCUAAUACCGCAUGCGAGCAAAUGAGCCUAGGUGGGCUUAGAUAGUUGGUGGGGUAAAGGCUUACCAAGGCGACGAGCCGUCGCCGGUCUGAGAGGAUGAUCAGGCACACUGGAACUGAGACACGGUCCAGACUCCUACGGUAGGCAGCAGUGGGGAAUCUUGGUCAAUGGACGAAAGCCUGACCGAGCCAUGCCGCGUGAGUGAAGAAGGUCUUCGGAUUGUAAAGCACUUUAAGUUGAGAGGCGUUACCAACACAAAAAGCACCGGCUAACUACGUGCCAGCAGCCGCGGUAAUAC